rnacentral:rRNA from 1 species
CACGUAGGGUGCGAGCGUUGUCCGGAAUUAUUGGGCGUAAAGAGCUCGUAGGCGGUGUGUCGCGUCGGCCGUGAAACCUGGGGCUUAACUCUGGGCUUGCGGUCGAUACGGGCAUCACUGGAGUUCGGCAGGGGAGACUGGAAUUCCUGGUGUAGCGGUGAAAUGCGCAGAUAUCAGGAAGAACACCCGUGGCGAAGGCGGCUCUCUGGGACGGUACUGACGGCUGAGACGCGAAAGCGUGGGGAGCGAACAGG